rnacentral:lncRNA from 1 species
CAAACUAUGAUUGAAGGACCACAGUUGAGAAGAGAAAGAGAGCUUAUGUGGAUCUGCAGGGGAAGAUCUCCCUGAGGAAGUGGCAUUUAAGCUGAUAUGAAGAAUGAUAUAUCAGAAGCAACAUGAGCUUUGAGUACAAAAUUGUCAUGAACAUUGGCUUGACGAAAGCAGUCCACAAGAAAUUCCUGAUACUGCCCACCAGAAGUUAUCCUGCUUUUAGUGAGCACCGUGCUUGACAAUACGAGAACCCUAACUACCUAAGUUCACCAGCCGUUCAUUGAAGAAGAUAAAGAUGAAGGCAAACACCAGCCUGGUACCACCCACCAUGAGGAAGGAAAGGCAAGUUAGGUUUCAGUAUGGCUCAGCCUGGCGACUGAAGCGACACAUGGACACUCGCCUCAAGUAGUCCACAAAGCACAGAGGAGGGCAGACAGCUCUGUUCUGGAAGACCCGAUUCCGGCAUUUCUCAGGCCAUUUA